GGGUGAAAAAUGAUCUCAUGAGCCGAGAAAUCGACAAACCCAUCUUUGAAUCUGGUUCAACAAAAGGCACAGAUUAUAUCAAGAUCAAAUCUUCUAUAUAAGAAUGAUGAAAACAAAUAAAGGGUAGAGCUUUUUGACCUUGUUUCAAGGAUUGAACACAGGGGAGCAAAGUAGUAGAGUUUUGCUCUUUUUUUAUGUAUUGAAUGUUUAGAUAGGGAAAUUGUUCUUCUAAGGCAUAAAGGUGCCUCAGAAUAGGAUUCUGAUUAGAAGUUGGAGAAGAAUAAAAGAUUAAAAGACAAUAAAGAAUAAUGAAGUAAGACUGUAAGAAGUGUGCUUAUCACGAUAAGAUCCAUAGCCAGCUGACUUCAUUCAGAGUUUUCUAUCUUCACAAAAAAAACAAUCUGAAGGAUAGUUUCAUUAAACCUCUACAACUUCAAGUUCCUUAUGUUACUAAUCAUUGUUUCGUUGUUGUGUUUCAAAUUCACUUCCAGUUCUAGGUUCAGGAUGCAACCCCCGAAAGUACUUGUCUGGCAAAUGUGGAACAUUGAGUAAAGUGGGUGUUCUUAUUACAGAUUUGAAAUAUGGCCAUUGAGAUCACAGAUGUUGAUGAUGCAUGUUUAUGGGGACCAACUGUAGAGAAGAUUUUCAUCGAUAUCAUGGUUGAUGAAGUGAAUAAAGGAAAUAUGGCAAGUGGUCAAUUUGGCUCAAAAACAUGGGCGAAAAUUCUUGAGGAGUUGCAAAUUAAAAGUAAGCGGAAAUACUUAAUUAAACAAAUUAAGCAAAAGUUCAA